rnacentral:rRNA from 1 species
UUCGAUUCCGGAGAGGGAGCCUAAGAAACGGCUACCACAUCUAAGGAAGGCAGCAGGCGCGCAAAUUACCCAAUUCUAACAGCAUAAGAGAGGUAGUGACAAGAAAUAACAAUACAAGGCAGUUAAAAUGCUUUGUAAUUGGAAUGAUAGAAAUUUAAACACUUUUUAAAGUAUCAAUUGGAGGGCAAGUCUGGUGCCAGCAGCCGCGGUAAUUCCAGCUCCAAUAGCGUAUAUUAAAAUUGUUGCAGUUAAAAAGCUCGUAGUUGAAUUUCUGCUAAAAAUAAUCGGUCUGCUUUGAACAAAAGUGGUAUCUUGUUGUGUUUUUAGCAAUAAUGUCCUUUGAAAUGUAUUUUACUUUGUUGUAAAAAACAAUAUUCAGGAUUUUUACUUUGAGAAAAUUAGAGUGUUUCUAGCAGGCUAAUGUUAUGAAUAUUGCAGCAUGGAAUAAUAAAAUAAGAAUUUAGUUCUACAUUGUUGGUUUUAAGAGUUGAAUUAAUGAUUGAUAGGAACAGUUGGGGGCAUUUGUAUUUAACUGUCAGAGGGAAAUUU